rnacentral:rRNA from 1 species
GACGAACGCUGGCGGCGUGCCUAAUACAUGCAAGUAGAACGCACAGUUUAUACCGUAGCUUGCUACACCAUAAACUGUGAGUUGCGAACGGGUGAGUAACGCGUAGGUAACCUGUCUGGUAGCGGGGGAUAACUAUUGGUAACGAUAGCUAAUACCGCAUAAUAUUGAUUAUUGCAUGAUAAUUGAUUGAAAGAUGCUAUUGCAUCACUACCAGAUGGACCUGCGUUGUAUUAGCUAGUAGGUGAGGUAACGGCUCACCUAGGCGACGAUACAUAGCCGACCUGAGAGGGUGAUCGGCCACACUGGGACUGAGACACGGCCCAGACUCCUACGGGAGGCAGCAGUAGGGAAACUUCGGCAAUGGGCGGAAGUCUGACCGAGCAACGCCGCGUGAGUGAAGAAGGUUUUCGGAUCGUAAAGCUCUGUUGUAAGGGAAGAACGGGUGUGAGAGUGGAAAGUUCACACUGUGACGGUAUCUUACCAGAAAGGGACGGCUAACUACGUG